rnacentral:rRNA from 1 species
AGUGAACGUUGGCGGCGUGGAUUAGGCAUGCAAGUCGAGCGAGAACCGUAGCAAUACGGGGACAGCGGCGAAAGGGACAGUAAUGUGUAGGUACCUACCCCGAGGUCUGGGAUAGCCGCGGGAAACUGCAGGUAAUACCGGAUAAUGUCUUCGGACCAAAGGUGUGAUUCCACCUUGGGAGGGGCCUGCAUCCUAUUAGCUAGUUGGCGGGGUAAUGGCCCACCAAGGCGACGAUGGGUAGGGGGUGUGAGAGCACGACCCGCGUGAUUGGGACUGAGACACUGCCCAGACACCUACGGGUGGCUGCAGUCGAGGAUCUUCGGCAAUGGGCGAAAGCCUGACCGAGCGACGCCGCGUGCGGGAUGAAGGCCUUCGGGUUGUAAACCGCUGUCGUAGAGGAGGAAAUGCAGGUGGGUUCUCCCAUCUGUUUGACCUAUUCUAGGAGGAAGUACGGGCUAAGUUCGUGCCAGCAGCCGCCGUAA